UUUAAUGAGAGUUUGAUCCUGGCUCAGGACGAACGCUGGCGGCGUGCCUAAUACAUGCAAGUAGAACGCUGAAGGAGGAGCUUGCUUCUCUGGAUGAGUUGCGAACGGGUGAGUAACGCGUAGGUAACCUGCCUGGUAGCGGGGGAUAACUAUUGGAAACGAUAGCUAAUACCGCAUAAGAGUGGAUGUUGCAUGACAUUUGCUUAAAAGGUGCACUUGCAUCACUACCAGAUGGACCUGCGUUGUAUUAGCUAGUUGGUGGGGU
rnacentral:rRNA from 1 species